CCUACGGGGGGCAGCAGUGGGGAAUUUUGGACAAUGGGGGCAACCCUGAUCCAGCCAUGCCGCGUGAGUGAAGAAGGCCUUCGGGUUGUAAAGCUCUUUCGGCCGGGAAGAAAUCGCUCAAGCUAAUACCUUGGGUGGAUGACGGUACCGGAAGAAGAAGCACCGGCUAACUACGUGCCAGCAGCCGCGGUAAUACGUCGGGUGCGAGCGUUAAUCGGAAUUACCAGGCGGAAAGAUUGCGCAGGCGGCGAAUCACCGGGCUUAACCUGGGAACUGCGGUUGUGACUGUGGUGCUCGAGUGCGGCAGAGGGGGGUGGAAUUCCACGUGUAGCAGUGAAAUGCGUAGAGAUGUGGAGGAACACCGAUGGCGAAGGCAGCCCCCUGGGUCGACACUGACGCUCAUGCACGAAAGCGUGGGGAGCAAACAGGAUUAGAUACCCUAGUAGUC
rnacentral:rRNA from 1 species